rnacentral:rRNA from 1 species
GAUUCCCUGAGUAGCGGCGAGCGGAAGGGGAGGAGCCCAAACCGCCGAGAGCGGGGUUGUAGGACCGCCACGAGGAAGAAGAAAGCCGCGGCGCAGGAGAACCGCAUGGAAAGGCGGGACGAAGAGCGUGAGAUCCGCGUAACCGGAGCGCAGGCGGACUUCCGGCGGAAUCCUGAGUACGGCGGGGCACGGGAAACCCCGCCGGAAUCCGGGUCGACCACGAUCCAAGGCUAAAUACGGUGCGGCUACCGAUAGCGAACGAGUACCGUGAGGGAAAGGCGAAAAGAACCCCGGCGAGGGGAGUGAAAGAGAACCUGAAACCAUAGACCGACAAGAUGUCACAGCCCGCGAGGGUGGUGGCGUGUCUUUUGUAGGAUAAGCCUGCGAGUCGCGGUGUGCGGCGAGGCCAAGGGAUAGCAGUCCCGGAGCCGGAGGGAAACCGAGUCCGAAUAGGGCGGAAGUCGCAUGCAGCGGACCCGAAGCCAAGGUGAUCUUAUCAUGGGCAGGCUGAAGGCAGGGUAAAGCCUGUUGGAGGGCCGAACGGUAGUCUGUUAAAAAAGGCAGCGAUGACCUGUGAUAAGGAGUGAAAGGCUAAACAAACCUGGAGAUAGCUGGCUCUCCCCGAAAUGCCUUUAGGGACAGCCUCGUACAGGACUCGCGGAGGUAAAGCACUGGAUGGCAGAGGGGGCGUCAAAGCCUACCGAUGCCAAUCAAACUCUGAAUGCCGCGAGCCUGCGUACGGGAGUGAGACUGUGUGCGCCAAGGUUCACAGUCGAGAGGGAAACAGCCCGGACCGCCGGCCAAGGUCCCAAAAUCAUGCCGAGUGUUAAAUGAGGUGCGGAUGCGCGGACAGCCAGGAGGUUGGCUCAGAAGCAGCCAUUCCUUGAAAGAGUGCGUAACAGCUCACUGGUCGAGCAUGCGCGCGCAGACAAUGUAGCGGGGCUAAGCAUGAUACCGAAGCCGCGGGCCGGCGCCGCAGAGGCGCCGGCGGUAGGGGAGCAUUCCGCUUGCCGGAGAAGGCGCACCCGCGAGGGGCGCUGGAGGGCGCGGAAGAGAGAAUGCAGGCAUAAGUAACGAAAAGACGGGUGGGAUUCCCGUCCGCCGGAAGCCUGAGGUUUCCAGGGUAAAGGCAAUCUGCCCUGGGUAAGUCGGCCCCUAAGACGAGGCGGAAACGCGUAGCCGAUGGGAAUCCGGUUCAUAAUCCGGGACCUGAGCCAGACUGAUGCCAUGACGCAUGAGGCGAAAUCCGGCAGGGCGACGGUAGUCCCUGUCCAAGCGGCGAGGCGGUGACGGAGGGGCCAAAAGACCUCCGGAGCCGAGCCGUGACGGCGAGAGGAGAGAAAGUCGAAUCGAAGCGGACGUAGUCACGGUGCCGGGAAACAGUGGCUGGGAAAUGUGGCUCAGACCGUACCGUAAACCGACACAGGUAGGCAGGAUGAGUAAUCUGAGGCGCACGAGCGACCUCGCGUUAAGGAACUCGGCAAAAUGCACACGUAACUUCGGAAGAAGUGUGGCUCCUGUUUGAAAGGAUUAGGAGCGGCAGAAAGCGGGCCCAGGCGACUGUUUAUCAAAAACACAGCCAUCUGCGAACCAGCAAUGGGACGUAUAGGUGGUGACACCUGCCCGGUGCCGGAAGGUUAAGGGGAGCGGUCAGCCCUCGGGCGAAGCUGCGAACCGAAGCCCCGGUAAACGGCGGCCGUAACUAUAACGGUCCUAAGGUAGCGAAAUUCCUUGUCGGGUAAGUUCCGACCCGCACGAAUGGUGUAACGAUUCUGGGCGCUGUCUCAACGCGAGACUCGGUGAAAUUUAUAUUCCGGUAAAGAAGCCGGAUACCCAUAAUUAGACGGAAAGACCCCGUGAACCUUCACCGUAAC